AGUGAACGCUGGCGGUAGGCCUAACACAUGCAAGUCGAACGGCAGCACAGAGGAGCUUGCUCCUUGGGUGGCGAGUGGCGGACGGGUGAGGAAUACAUCGGAAUCUACUUUUUCGUGGGGGAUAACGUAGGGAAACUUACGCUAAUACCGCAUACGACCUACGGGUGAAAGCAGGGGAUCUUCGGACCUUGCGCGAUUGAAUGAGCCGAUGUCGGAUUAGCUAGUUGGCGGGGUAAAGGCCCACCAAGGCGACGAUCCGUAGCUGGUCUGAGAGGAUGAUCAGCCACACUGGAACUGAGACACGUUCCAGACUCCUACGGGAGGCAGCAGUGGGGAAUAUUGGACAAUGGGCGCAAGCCUGAUCCAGCCAUACCGCGUGGGUGAAGAAGGCCUUCGGGUUGUAAAGCCCUUUUGUUGGGAAAGAAAUCCAGCCGGCUAAUACCUGGUUGGGAUGACGGUACCCAAAGAAUAAGCACCGGCUAACUUCGUGCCAGCCGCCGCCGUAA
rnacentral:rRNA from 1 species